rnacentral:rRNA from 1 species
UCUGCCCUUUAUCUGGGACCCCCCUGGAAGCUUUUCUAAUACCGGAUACUGACCCUCGCAGGCAUCUGCGAGGUUCGAAAGCUCCGGCGGUGCAGGAUGAGCCCGCGGCCUAUCAGCUUGUUGGUGAGGUAAUGGCUCACCAAGGCGACGACGGGUAGCCGGCCUGAGAGGGCGACCGGCCACACUGGGACUGAGACACGGCCCAGAAUCCUACGGGAGGCAGCAGUGGGGAAUAUUGCACAAUGGGCGAAAGCCUGAUGCAGCGACGCCGCGUGAGGGAUGACGGCCUUCGGGUUGAAAACCUCUUUCAGCAGGGAAGAAGCGAAAGUGACGGUACCUGCAGAAGAAGCGCCGGCUAACUACGUGCCAGCAGCCGCGGUAAUACGUAGGGCGCAAGCGUUGUCCGGAAUUAUUGGGCGAAAGAGCUCGUAGGCGGCUUGUCACGUCGGUUGUGAAAGCCCGGGGCUUACCCCCGGGUCUGCAAUCGAAUACGGGGCAGGCUAGAGUUCGGUAGGGGAGAUCGC